GACUGGCAGUAGUAACCAGGAACUAGGUUGCUACCACUUUUCGCGGCCUUCUCGCUCUAGUCACGGCUGCAGAAACCCUCAGAGGGCAUCAGCUUGCCUGUACAUGGUGGGCGAGCAGAAAGUAUGCAGGCACCUGCAGCCCGCUCGUGGGUGGAGCCUGCUAAUGAGCAACUCUGCUGACUGACUGGAGGGGAGGUGCUCAUUCCAGGCCUCUGGCCAGGAGCCUUCUCUUCUGGGCUUGUCAGAGAGCCAGUGCCACAGGCUUCAGGUUCACCUCAAUGGAAAACAGCAUCCGAGCCACAGCCCAGGCCGCCCAUCUCUCUGAAAAGGCUCAGCUGGGCAGUGGUGGCACACACCUUUAAAUCCCAGCACUUGAGAGGCAGAGACAGGCGGAUUUCUAAGUUCGAGACCAGCCUACAGAGUAAGUUCCAGAACAGCCAGGACUACACAGAGAAACCCUGUCUCCAAAAACAAAACAGCAACAAUACAACAACAACAAUAAUAAUAAAUAAAAACGUCCAUUUCC
rnacentral:lncRNA from 1 species